rnacentral:rRNA from 1 species
UACGUAGGCAGCAAGCGUUGUUCGGAAUUACUGGGCGUAAAGCGUGCGCAGGCGGUGAUGUAAGACAGAUGUGAAAUCCCCGGGCUCAACCUGGGAACUGCAUUUGUGACUGCAUCGCUGGAGUGCGGCAGAGGGGGAUGGAAUUCCGCGUGUAGCAGUGAAAUGCGUAGAUAUGCGGAGGAACACCGAUGGCGAAGGCAAUCCCCUGGGCCUGCACUGACGCUCAUGCACGAAAGCGUGGGGAGCGAACAGG